AAUAAAUGUAAAAGAUUAUUGUCGGAGUAGUAAGAGUUAAGGUCUUGAAACUCAAAGAAUUUGGCGGUGUUUUAAUUCUGUUCAGAGGAACCUGUUUUGUAAUUGAUGAUACACGAUUAGGUUGACUUAAAUUUGAUUUGUAUAUCGCCGUCAUCAGAUUAUUUUGAUUGAAAAAUUUAAAAUUUCAGAAUAUAUGUGCAGUAUGUUAUGUCAGGUCAAGAUGCAGUUUAUAUUUAAGGUUAUGAUGGGUUACAAUAAAUUAAUAUUUAUACGGAAUAUUUUCUUAGGUAGGGUUAUAUGAAGGUGGAUUUGAAAGUAAAUUGAUUAGAAUUAAUUGAUUGAAUAAGCUCUAGAACAUGC
rnacentral:rRNA from 1 species